GCCUGGGUGGCUCAGUUGGCUGAGCGUCUGACUUCAGCUCAGGUCAUGAUCUCGCGGUUCGUGGGUUCGAGCCCCGCGGCGGGCU
rnacentral:tRNA from 1 species